rnacentral:rRNA from 1 species
AUUGCCCUAGUAACGGCGAGUGAAGCGGCAACAGCUCAAAUUUGAAAUCUGGCCCCCGGGUUCGUGUUGUAAUUUGCAGAGGAUGCUUUUGGUGAGGUGCCUUCCGAGUUCCCUGGAACGGGACGCCAUAGAGGGUGAGAGCCCCGUCUGGUUGGACACCGAGCCUCUGUAAAGCUCCUUCGACGAGUCGAGUAGUUUGGGAAUGCUGCUCUAAAUGGGAGGUAUAUGUCUUCUAAAGCUAAAUACCGGCCAGAGACCGAUAGCGCACAAGUAGAGUGAUCGAAAGAUGAAAAGCACUUUGAAAAGAGAGUUAAAAAGUACGUGAAAUUGUUGAAAGGGAAGCGCUCUUGACCAGACGUGGGCUUGGUUGAUCAUCCUGGGUUCUCCCGGGUGCACUCUUCCAGCUCAGGCCAGCAUCAGUUCGCCUUGGGGGAUAAAGGCUUCGGGAAUGUGGCUCCUCCGGGAGUGUUAUAGCCCGUUGCGCAAUACCCUGGGGCGGACUGAGGUUCGCGCAUCUGCAUGGAUGCUGGCGCAAUGGUCAUCAGCGACCCGUCUUGAAACACGGACCAAGGAGUCGUCUUCGUAUGCGAGUGUUCGGGUGUUAAACCCCUACGCGAAAUGAAAGUGAACGCAGGUGAGAGCUUCGGCGCAUCAUCGACCGAUCCUGAUGUUCUCGGAUGGAUUUGAGUAAGAGCAUACGGAGCCGGACCCGAAAGAAGGUGAACUAUGCCUGUAUAGGGUGAAGCCAGAGGAAACUCUGGUGGAGGCUCGCAGCGGUUCUGACGUGCAAAUCGAUCGUCAAAUAUGGGCAUGGGGGCGAAAGACUAAU